rnacentral:lncRNA from 10 species
AUCCCCUGUUCAGCUCCUUUCUUUGAAGGGAUGACAGCCGUGCUCACUAGUGGGGAGAUCUUUUGCUUAUUUCCCCUGGGGUCCUAAGAGAUAAGAGGUCAUGCCAGUGCUGGGCCAGUUUCCUGCAAGGCUCCACAGUAUCCAGGAGGGGCCUCCGGGAGGAGGGCAGCGGCCUGAGGCACCUCCUCACACCUCCACUUCUGCUGUUGUCAGAGAGCUUCCUGGCUUCCUUUUGUGAUCAGCUGGUCCUGGAAAGGCUGCAGCAGAUGGCUGAUUACCAUAAUGCGCAGAGCUUUAGAGGGUCCUGGGUGCAAACCCAGGCGUGACCAAGCCAAGAGCAGCUGCAUCUAAUGUGGCAUGUGGAGCCAACAUUAGGCUUUACCCACACACCCAUUCCGACCUUUCCAAUGAGAAGCCGAUGGCGCAGUUCAGAACAGAUGGCCAAGAGAAACACUAGGGAAAAGCCCUCCCAACCAGCUGUAGUAAGACUCCGUCUCAAAAAAAAAAAAAAAAUAGCUUUGUACAACUCAGUGGUGGUAGGUAGGUGAUAGGAACC